GGGAUUGCCUCAGUAACGGCGAGUGAAGCGGCAACAGCUCAAAUUUGAAAUCUGGCCUAGCCCGAAUUGUAAUUUGCAGAGGAUGCUUUUGGUGAGGUACCUUCCGAGUUCCCUGGAACGGGACGCCAUAGAGGGUGAGAGCCCCGUACGGUUGGAUGCCGAGCCUCUGUAAAGCUCCUUCGACGAGUCGAGUAGUUUGGGAAUGCUGCUCUAAAUGGGAGGUAAAUUUCUUCUAAAGCUAAAUACCGGCCAGAGACCGAUAGCGCACAAGUAGAGUGAUCGAAAGAUGAAAAGCACUUUGAAAAGAGGGUUAAAUAGCACGUGAAAUUGUUGAAAGGGAAGCGUUUAUGACCAGACAUUACCCGGUAAGGAUUACCCUCCGGGUGAGGCCAACAUCGAUUUUCUCAGGGGGACAAAGGUUUAGGGAACGUAGCUCCUCGGAGUGUUAUAGCCCUUUUCGUAAUACCCUUGGGGGGAUCGAGGUACGCGCUCUGCAAGGA
rnacentral:rRNA from 1 species